UGAUUUUCUCGAAUUAAGGAGAGCUAUGAUAUUAUGAAUUUAAUUGUUGUAUAAAUUUUUAUAAUAAUAAUAUGGUAGUGAAAUGCUAAUCGUUCCUUAAGAUAUCUAGUUUCUUAAGAAAUAAAUUUAAUUUAGGUUUUUUUGUAUACAAGUCUUCUUGUUUAGCUUUGUGGUGGGAAAAACUAAUAUCUUAAGGGAUAAGCUUUAAGAUAAAGUAACUAGAAUUAUUAUUUUUUUAUUAAGGGUAGGUAGGAUUGGAAAUGUCUAUCUAUAGUUUGUUAUAAUUAACCCUUAGUGUGAAUAAGAUUUAUAUAUUAGUUUAGUUUUUUUAUUAAGAUUAUGUAUUUAAUAUUGUUUUAUAUGGGAUAAUGAUAGAAUUAGUAUAGUUUAAUGUAUAAUGUAUUUUAUUAUCGAGGUUAUAUUAAGGAACUCGGCAAUAAAACUUUUCGCCUGUUUAUUAAAAACAUGUCUUUUUGAUUAUAAUUUAAAGUCUGGCCUGCCCAAUGAGUAGUUAAAUGGCCGCGGUAAUUUGACCGUGCAAAGGUAGCAUAAUCAUUAGUUUUUUAAUUGAAAGCUGGAAUGAACGGUCGGACGAGAAAGUGACUGUCUCAAUAUAAUUGAAAUUAGAAUUUUAUCUGUAAGUAAGAAAGCUUACAUAAUUUUAAAAGACGAGAAGACCCUAUAGAAUUUUAUAGAAAAUUAGGUGUAUUGUGGUAGGUAUAUUAAAUUUUAUAUUUAAUUUUCUAUUUUGUUGGGGCGACUGAAAAAUUUGAUAAACUUUUUUUUUAUGAUUUCAUUGAUGUAUGUUUUAUUGAUCCACUAUUAGUGAUUAUAAGAAAAAAUUACCUUAGGGAUAACAGCGUAAUUUUUCUUUAGAGUUCUUAUCGAAAGAAGAGUUUGCGACCUCGAUGUUGGAUUAAAAUUAACUUUUGGUGCAGGAGCUAAAAGGUUAGGUCUGUUCGA
rnacentral:rRNA from 1 species